CCUACGGGUAGCAGCAGUGAGGAAUAUUGGUCAAUGGGCGGAAGCCUGAACCAGCCAAGUAGCGUGCAGGAUGACGGCCCUACGGGUUGUACACUGCUUUUAUACGGGAAUAACGCGCCUUACGUGUAGGGCUUGGCAUGUAACGUGUGAAUAAGGACCGGCUAAUGCCUUGCCAGCAGCCGCGGUAAUACGGAAGGUCGGGGGGUGAUCCGGAUUUAUUGGGUGUAUAGGGAGCGUAGGCAGCAGGUCAGGUGUGCUGUGAAAUUUUCGGGCUCAACCCGGGCCUUGAAGCGCGAACGGGCGUGCUUGAGUCCGCGGAAAGCAGGCGGAAUUCGUCGUGUAGCGGUGAAAUGCUUAGAUAUGACGAAGAACCCCGAUUGCGAAGGCAGCUUGCUGCAGCGGAACUGACGCUGAUGCUCGAAAGCGCGGGUAUCGAACAGGAUUAGAUACCCCUGUAGUC
rnacentral:rRNA from 1 species